rnacentral:rRNA from 1 species
UUAAAAUUGUUGCAGUUAAAACGCUCGUAGUUGAAUUUCAAAGAGUCAUGGCGUUUCUGAGGUGCUACGCUUGGUUGAUCGCCCAGCACUGACCAUCUAUGAUUUUAUUGUAGAACAGUGAGCCUGGGUGUUUAGCUCCAAGAAAGUUGUCUCCUUUACAAAGUGAUUUUUCUAAGGGUCUCUUGAGUACCAGUCCUUGGGAGGUUCUUUUUACCUUGAGUAAAUUAGAGUGUUUAAAGCAAACAGAUACAACAGUUUACUGUGUUUAAAUACUACAGCAUGGAAUAAUAAUAUCGAAUGAGCCGACGUACUUUUCGUUUCUUUGUUAUUUUGGCUUAGUUACGAUUAACAGGAAUAGUUGGGGGCAUUUGUAUUCAGAUGUUAGAGGUGAAAUUCUAAGAUUAUCUGGAGACGAACAAUUGCGAAAGCAUCUGUCUAACAUAUUUUCAUUAAUCAAGAACGAAAGUUAAGGGAGUGAAGACGAUCAGAUACCGUCGUAAUCUUAACCAUAAACUAUGCCAACUAUGUUUUGGAUGUAUGAGAAAAAGGUGGAAUACUUUGUUUUACGACAUUGUCAUUCCAUUUAUGCUUCAUUCAGUACCUUAGAGAAAUCAAAGUCUUUGGGUUCUGGGGCGAGUAUUCGCGCAAGCGAGAAAGUUAAAAGAAUUGACGGAAGGGCACCACCAGGCGUGGAGCUUGCGGCUUAAUUUGACUCAACACGGGAAAACUCACUAGUUUAAGACAAGAGUAGGAUUGACAGAUUAAUAGCUCUUUCUUGAUUUCUUGGAUGGUGAUGCAUGGCCGUUUUUAGUUCGUGAAUAUGAUUUGUCUGGUUAAUUCCGAUAACGAACGAGAUCUUAACCUGCUAAUUAGCGGCGAAUACGUUAUAUUCCUACUUGAAAUUGAAUAUAGCUGAAUUUUGCUUAUUUUGAAGAAUACAUUAGGAUACAAUUAUAGUGUCCUUUUCCCUUUUCUACUUAAUUUGCUAUUCAUGCUGUUUCUUUUUUGUGUAGGAAUGUAUUCGUUUGAUUGUAAAGCUUCUUAGAGGAACGAUGUGUGUCUAACACAAGGAAGUUUAAGGCAACAACAGG